rnacentral:tRNA from 1 species
CGGGGUAUGGCGCAGUUGGUAGCGCGUACGCAUGGGGUGCGUGAGGCCGGCGGUUCGAGUCCGCCUACCCCGACCA